UGGCUCUGGCAUCGAUGAAGAACGCAGCGAAACGCGAUAUGUAAUGUGAAUUGCAGACUUUAGUGAAUCAUCGAAUCUUUGAACGCACAUUGCGCCCCAUGGUAUUCCGUGGGGCAUGCCUGUUCGAGCGUCAUAACAACCUCUCCAGCUCCGCUGGGUCUUGGGGCUUGCCUGCCCGGGCAUCCCCUAAAACCAGAUGCGGCGCCGCGUCGGCUCUAAGCGUAGUACUGUCCUCGCUUCGGGGCCCGUCGUAGCGUCUGCUAUGAACCCUAACUUUCCAUGGUUGACCUCGAAUCAGGUAGGGAUACCCGCUGA
rnacentral:misc_RNA from 1 species